AAAGAGGUUUUUCUCUGUUUUCUUCUGAGCCGCCUCUGAGAAGCCUCUGUACGUACACGAUGUGGCUGAUCUGGGAUAAUCGUGCUGUGCACAAUGUUUAAGGAGAACAUUGCCAUGAAAUGGUGGGCUAAGGAAUAGCCUAAAAAACCUAAAAGGCUCGGGAAAAGCCAAAGAGAACAGCAAUGGGCUCUGGGAAGCCCCAGUGACGCUACAGAAAACAGCGUGGCUUUUAGGCACCUCCUCAGAGCAGCAGCAAUGUCUUGCUCCAGCCUGUGGGACAAUGGGGACUCUUAAUUACCACCUUGAAUUACCACAAGUGUUGCAAAAGCAGAAGGGACUAGGGAGCACGCAGAGCAGGUUGUGGACUAUAUGUCAAGUUUAAACAAGCAACAAGCCCCUCUGCAAAUAGGAACAGGUUUAGCCCUAAGUACUCGAUGAAGGUAGCUGUGAGUAACGUGAAGCGAAGCGGUUACGUCAAUCACCCCGAAAGCCUCGGAGAAGUGGUGCAAACACCUGAUACCCUCGCGGCCUCGGCAGUCUUUUUGGUUUGUUUGGCAGGGUAGUCCACCGAAGGGGGACAUCUCGAAGAGAAGCAGCGAGACCUGGGGAUCCGGUUGUUUGUUUUGGUCGUCGCCUGUGAGGCCAGCAUCCGAGCGUAAGAGGAAUCUAGGCGCUGUCUCGAAAAGAGAUGGCACCAAGGACAGCAAAUGCUGACAAAGAGAAGAGACGGACAAGCAUUUUCUUGUGAUUAAUACCGAAGGGACGGGAUGAGACAAGGAAGCCAAAAUGCAGUGGACCCUCGAUAUCCCCAGGAACUGCUACAGGAGGCGGCGUUCUGGCACGGGUAACUAAGGGCGAUGGAUUUUACUCUGCCUCCAUCAACAGGCGCUGGCUGGCAAAGUCGUCGUGUCCCAGCGGAGACUCUUAGGCAGGACGGGAGGAGUUCGGAUCCGCAGCCUGCCAGAAGAGCGUCGCCUGGGAGGGGUCACUAGCCUUGAGCUACAGGCGCUGGUGCUGAAGCCCAGUCGGGCAGUCGAAGGAGCCUCAUCGCAGCUGGGAGCUCUGCGGAGAUGCGUGGCCGGCUGUGGAGGAUGAGCUCUGACUUGCGGCGUGGACACGGCUAAGUCCUGGGCUGCAUCGUACGCGAGUGGGGCUGGGAGGUGCGAGGCGUUCGUCCCCUAGCCGUGGUCACUGGCGCCGCUGGCUGUGGCCGUUUGCCCACGGAGCUGAGAGGACCAAACAUACUAAUUGCCUGACCCGGAGAUGAAUUAGUGCUUGCAGGCUUUCAGGUAGGUUCAGUGCAAGUGCAGCUUAGUGCAGUCCCAUGGAGUGACGCUUGCACAUGCUCACAUUUGAAUGGUGGCUAAAACCAAGCCUCUAAACAGCAACUGUAACGCAAUUCUGGUGCUUGUUUUCCUAUUCUGCUGUACUUCUAAAGGAAGGGAAAGCUUCCUAAGCUGCGGGCAAAACUCCUUGGCUUCUCUUGACUGUUUCCAUGCUCUGGAAACAGCUUUGGGUGCUUUGAUGCUUGUUGCUUAAAGCUGAGGGUUUGGAAUUUUUCACUUAAGGUUGAUUGUUUAGCUUGCUGCUGAGGGUCUCUCACCCAGGAGUUACGGGUUAUUCCUUUCUUUUGUGGGGCUCACUCUUUAUCAGUCAGGGUUUACAGUUUGCUCAUGUAGCAAUCGGGGCGCAGAAUUUAAAAUCCAACCCCAUCCCUUGUCCCGAUCCAAUAUCGGGGGGGUUUCGUUACGAUCCCAAGGACGUGAUUAAGACGCUAAAACCGGUCAAAUAUCGUACAACCGUUUAACGUUAU